rnacentral:rRNA from 1 species
UAACGGGGGGGUAUGCCUUAAUUAUCGGCGAGUGAAGCGGCAAAAGCUCAAAUUUGAAAUCUGGUACCUUCGGUGCCCGAGUUGUAAUUUGGAGAGGGCAACUUUGGGGCCGUUCCUUGUCUAUGUUCCUUGGAACAGGACGUCAUAGAGGGUGAGAAUCCCGUGUGGCGAGGAGUGCGGUUCUUUGUAAAGUGCCUUCGAAGAGUCGAGUUGUUUGGGAAUGCAGCUCUAAGUGGGUGGUAAAUUCCAUCUAAAGCUAAAUAUUGGCGAGAGACCGAUAGCGAACAAGUACAGUGAUGGAAAGAUGAAAAGAACUUUGAAAAGAGAGUGAAAAAGUACGUGAAAUUGUUGAAAGGGAAGGGCAUUUGAUCAGACAUGGUGUUUUGUGCCCUCUGCUCCUUGUGGGUAGGGGAAUCUCGCAUUUCACUGGGCCAGCAUCAGUUUUGGUGGCAGGAUAAAUCCAUAGGAAUGUAGCUUGCCUCGGUAAGUAUUAUAGCCUGUGGGAAUACUGCCAGCUGGGACUGAGGACUGCGACGUAAGUCAAGGAUGCUGGCAUAAUGGUUAUAUGCCGCCCGUCUUGAAACACGGACCA